rnacentral:tRNA from 1 species
UCCGGGAUCGUCUAACGGCAGGACGUCAGACUCUGAAUCUGAAAAUUGGGGUUCGAAUCCCUGUCCCGGAA